rnacentral:tRNA from 1 species
ACCUGACUACCUCAGUCGGUAGAGCAUGAGACUCUUAAUCUCAGGGUUGUGGGUUUGAGCCCCACGCUGGGUG